GGCUUUGCCGAUCUACCGGGAGGCACCCGGCACCGCAGCAUNCGCCCGGUCGCUGGUUCAAAUCCAGCAGGGGCCACCA
rnacentral:tRNA from 6 species